CCUACGGGAGGCAGCAGUGGGGAAUAUUCGGCAAUGGGCGAAAGCCUGACCGAGCCAUGCCGCGUGAGUGAUGAAGGCCUUAGGGUUGUAAAGCUCUUUCAACGGGGAAGAUAAUGACGGUACCCGUAGAAGAAGCCCCGGCUAACUUCGUGCCAGCAGCCGCGGUAAUA
rnacentral:rRNA from 1 species